rnacentral:lncRNA from 1 species
UUGACAAGUGUGAUACAGUGUUAACAGGAAACUGUGUCAAGAUGGAAAGCGGACGAUAGCCCUGAUUCCACAACAGCAGCCGAUUUUACGCAGACAUUUACGUAACAGCACUUUUAUCCUGGAAACAUCUUUCAUGUGCUGAGGUCUUUCUUGAAAAUGCAGUGUGUCCUGUAGUGCAAGUUCUUCUUGGGAGGGACUUAUGCACUGUCGUGUGAUGUCUCAAAGCAGGAGGAAAUAAUUUGGUUCACUCUGAGCCACAAAUAGCACACAAUCAGGACUAAGCAAGCCGAAGUAAACAUGUUGCACUUGCUGGGGACUGUUGCUGGCCUUCUCUUCAUCAUAAUAUGCUUUUCAAAGGGACUCAAAAAGAAAAAUAAAUCACAGCUUGAACCCUCUGUCAACAACAAGAUGAAGGAUCUGAGUGAGAAGGAUGUGCAUUUACUGGCCAAGAUUCUGUCAGCUGGAUUGGUGGAUGCAGAUCCAAACUAUUUACAUCAUCUCAAAGGC